rnacentral:lncRNA from 1 species
ACCCCGCACACUCUGUUAUGACGUUCCUUAGUCUGUUGUGGAGUUGCCUGGUUUCCUGAAGCAGAUCUAGCCCCUUGAGCAAUGAUGGUACACAGCGCAUGCUUGGGACCAGGGGCACUGGCCCUUCUCAGCACUAACCUCAGGGGUCCACUAUCUCCUCUGUAUCUCUCGUGCUUCUCCCGUUCUGGGGAUAUGAACCACCAAGCCACGUGGAGUCCUGAGAUAACAAAGUUCCCACAGCCAUGGAAGACUUUCCAUCUCCUGUAGUGAACUCAUCAGGUUAGAAUCCAGCUGUGCACCAAACAUCACGAUGGGGACUGAGCCAUGUGGCUAAAAAUCGAGUAUGGAACCUGCCAUCGGGAGACUGGUGAAAUACUGGACUCAUGACCACAAAGCUAUUCCCACCAGUCAGAGACAAGGGUAUUAGAGAUGGAGUUUGUGUUGGAUGACUUCGAGAACCAAUAUGAGAGAAGCACUAACGUCCACGGGCCCAGGUGUGGUGACACACACUUGUUGUCCCAGGCCUUCGCAAGAAGAGGUAGGAUGAGCUCAGAGCCGGACUCAUCUGUGUAGCAAAUGCAAGGGCAGCCUGGGCUCCAUGGAAGCCUGUCACAAAGCAGCAACAGCAACAGCAACAGCAACAGCAACAGCAAUAGCAGCAACAACAGCAAUGAACAAAAACACCUCUACAAGAGCCACAUUCAACUCCAUUGGCCACAGGCAAACCAAGGGGAGGUGGUGCACAACAACCUGGCUUAAGAUGGAAACAAAAGUCCUCUUUGUCUGGAAACACAAUGGAUAAUGGACACCCCGUUGUAUGGCACAAGCAAUGGUCAGGUAUGACACUGCUUUUCCAAAAGACUAAAGCUUUGUGAUGGCAAGGUUAUUUUUCCUCCAGGCUCUGUUUUUCCUGGCUCUUGCCUCAGCCAUGGAAGUAGCUCUCACUGGGCUCUCCAAGGACAACGGCAACCCUUCCUAGGUCCUUCCAACCACCAAGGGCCCAGCGGCUCCAGCCUGGCAUACACAAAGGGGCUUUGUGGCUUCCCCAUGGAGAGGUGAUAGAGAGGACAUUGUAUAUGAGUCCCCAUUCCAGCAAUCACUGUCCCCUGCAGCACAUGAUGUGGCAGGAAACCACUGUUAACGUCUGUAAUGAAAAAAAAAACCUUUAAUUUUUAUUUAAU